rnacentral:lncRNA from 1 species
AUGGUCCAACCAUCCUGCCUUUGUCGAGUCCAUGAUCCAUCCAUUCUGCCUGUGUCCAGUCCAGUCUCUGGUCCAACAAUCUUGCCUGUGUUCAGUCUCUGGUCUAUCAUCCUGCGUGUGUCCAGUCUCUGGUCCAUCAUCCUGCCUGUGUCCAGUCUCUGGUCCAACCAUCUUGCCUGUGUCCAGUCUUUGGUCCAUCAUCCUGUCUGUGUCCAGUCUCUGGUCCAACCAUCUUGCCUGUGUCCAGUCUUUGGUCCAUCAUCCUGCCUGUGUCCAGUCUCUGGUCCAACCAUCCUGCCUGUGUCCAGUCCCUGUCCAAACAUCCUGCCGGUGUCCAGUCCAGUCUCUGGUCCAACCAUCCUGCCUGUGUCCAGUCUUUGGUCCAUCAUACUGCCUGUGUCCAGUCUCUGGUCCAACCAUCCUGCCUGUGUCCAGUCUUUGGUCCAUCAUCCUGCCUGUGUCCAGUCUCUGGUCCAACCAUCCUGCCUGUGUCUAGUCUCUGGUCCAACCAUCCUGCCUGUGUCCAGACUUUGGUCCAUCAUACUGCCUGUGUCCAGUCUCUGGUCCAACCAUCUUGCCUGUGUCCAGUCUUUGGUCCAUCAUCCUGUCUGUGUCCAGUCUCUGGUCCAACCAUCCUGCCUGUGUCCAGUCUUUGGUCCAUCAUCCUGCCUGUGUCCAGUCUCUGGUCCAUCCAUCCUGUGUCCAGUCUCUGGUCCAUCAUACUGCCUGUGUCCAGUCUCUGGUCCAACCAUCCUGCCUGUGUCUAGUCUCUGGUCCAACCAUCCUGCCUGUGUCCAGACUUUGGUCCAUCAUCCUGCCUGUGUCCAGUCUCUGGUCCAACCAUCCUGUGUCCAGUGUCUGGUCCAUCAUACUGCCUGUGUCCAGUCUCUGGUCCAACCAUCCUGCCUGUGUCUAGUCUCUGGUCCAACCAUCCUGCCUGUGUCUAGUCUCUGGUCCAACCAUCCUACCUGUGUCCAGUCUUUGGUCCAUCAUCCUGCCUGUGUCCAGUCUCUGGUCCAACCAUCCUGUGUCCAGUCUCUGGUCCAACCAUCCUGUGUCCAGUCUCUGGUCCAAUGA